CCCCACCCCCCUAACCAAGUCUUAAAGGGACUUAUUGGGCAUUAAAACUUCUACAGCUUCAUGUUUUGACAAAUGUAAACAUUGUAAUUUGUGAAAAAUGGCAACGUAUUAAUUAGUCGCUUCUCACAAACGGCACAGGGACACUUCCUCAAGAAGACAUCCAAUCCGUGAAAGUCUUCAAGUUCAACAUCACACUACUUCUCUCAUAGAACACUGCAUUCAAUGUUUCUCUAUGUAAAGCAGCACAAUGCCUGAGAUGUGACACACUGGCCCAAAG